ACAGGUCUUGUUGAGGGGAGUGAAGUCACUCAGACACCCACCAUACUCUGGAAACUGAAAGACAGUGAUGCUCUGAUGAACUGCAGUCACACUAAGGGAUCUAGCUACACCAGAUGUACUGGUACAGACAGCUUCCAGGAGAGGGAAUGAAGCAGGUAGUUUACACAAGUAGUUAUAGCGAUCCAGAAUAUGGAGACUUCAGUAAAGACAAAUAUCCAACUGUUAAGGCUAUAGCUGAGAGUGGAUCUUUCACAGUGAAGAAGUUGGAGACAGGAGACAGUGGAAUGUACUUCUGUGCUGUGAGUGAACACAGUGAUACAGACAACAAGUACAGCUGCACAAAAACCCCAGUAUUUCAAUAGGAUGUAAUAUAAUAUGUAAAUAGAUGGUCUCAUCACAUACUGUAGGGGACCUCUAACUCUAGUUCUUCUAAUGUCUGAUGGUUUCAUUGUCAUGAUCAUGUAAUCAGUCAUGUUCACAGUGAGGUCCUAUGAGCAAGCUUUACAGUACAGGCUUCCUGACACUCCUUCUAACACUGUCACUAUCCACCACCCUGAAGGAAACAUGCUACUACAACAGCCAAUCUCCUUUCACCUCAGAGCUUCACCCAGGAGACACUCAUAUCACAUCCUCAUCAUCAUCGUCUUCCUCAGCAUAUUCAUCAUCUUCAUCAUCAUCAUAAUAUUUUUCUUCAUCAUGAUGUUCAGAGUUCUGAUUCACCUGGCAGCUCUACCACUCUGGGUGACAGGGCAGGUGUUUAGUAGCAUGGUUCAUCAGAGGCCUGUGGCACUAACAGAAGGUCCUGGAGGAGACGUUCAACUCACCUGCAGCCAUACGAUCUCUAACUACUACGUGAUACUAUGGUACAAACAGUCAGCAGGAGACACUGCUAUGAAACUCAUUGGUUAUGCAUAUACCAAGUUAAUAACCAUGGAGAAAUCAUUUGAAAAGCACUUCAAUGUGAGUGGAGAUGGUGGGAAAGAGGCUUAUCUUCAUCUAUUGAGUCUGAGAGGACCUGAACACUGUGCAGUUUAUUACUGUGCAGCCAGCCAACACAGUGAUGUAGACUUCCUCCUGUUCUCUACUAAAACCCUGUCUGAUGGUAAUAUUAGACCACGGCUCAGAACACCUGCAUCUGAGGUUUGACUUUGACUCAAUGCCAAUGAAUAAACACAGAUGGAUGAUGGCAUAAGGUGAUAUCUGUCCUAGUACAGUAUACCAGUAUUUACAGUUUACUGUCACCACUCAUUAACAUACAUUAUGCAAUGUUACAAUGUCAUAUUCCAUUACUCCAUUUCUAUCUCUCCCCUCUCUCUCUCUCUCUCUCUCUCUCUCUCUCUCUCUCUCUCUCUCUCUCUCUAUCUCUCCCCUCUCUCUCUCUCUAUCUCUCCCCUCUCUCUCUAUCUCUCCCCUCUCGCUCAAUUCAAUUCAAU
ensembl:lncRNA